rnacentral:rRNA from 1 species
CACUCUAGAGAGACUGCCAGGGAUAACCUGGAGGAAGGUGGGGAUGACGUCAAAUCAUCAUGCCCCUUAUGCUUAGGGCUACACACGUGCUACAAUGGGUAGUACAGAGGGUUGCCAAGCCGUAAGGUGGAGCUAAUCCCUUAAAGCUACUCUCAGUUCGGAUUGUAGGCUGAAACUCGCCUACAUGAAGCUGGAGUUACUAGUAAUCGCAGAUCAGAAUGCUGCGGUGAAUGCGUUCCCGGGUCUUGUACACACCGCCCGUCACACCACGGGCGUUGGAGACGCCCGAAGCCGAUUAUCUAACCUUUUGGAAGAAGUCGUCGACGGUGGAAUCAAUAACUGGGGUGAAGUCGUAACAAGGUAGCCGUAUCGGAAGGUUCGGCUGGAUCACCUCCUUUCUAAGGAGA